rnacentral:rRNA from 1 species
UACAGAGGGUGCAAGCGUUAAUCGGAAUUACUGGGCGUAAAGCGUGCGCAGGCGGUUCGCUAAGACCGAUGUGAAAUCCCCGGGCUUAACCUGGGAACUGCAUUGGUGACUGGCGGGCUAGAGUAUGGCAGAGGGGGGGUAGAAUUCCACGUGUAGCAGUGAAAUGCGUAGAGAUGUGGAGGAAUACCGAUGGCGAAGGCAGCCCCCCUGGGCCAAUACUGACGCUCAUGCACGAAAGCGUGGGGAGCAAACAGG